rnacentral:rRNA from 1 species
UACGUAGGGGGCGAGCGUUGUCCGGAUUCAUUGGGCGUAAAGAGCUCGUAGGCGGCUUGUCAAGUCGGGUGUGAAACCUCCAGGCUCAACCUGGAGACGCCACUCGAGACUGUCAUGGCUAGAGUCCGGUAGGGGAUCACGGAAUUCCUGGUGUAGCGGUGAAAUGCGCAGAUAUCAGGAGGAACACCGAUGGCGAAGGCAGGUCUCUGGGCUGACACUGACGCUCAUGCACGAAAGCGUGGGGAGCAAACAGG